CAGGAUUCGUAGUCCUGCAGAGGUCCUCAGUUGUUGAUUCUAUCGCUAUGCAGUAUGGAGGGGCCUUGUACAUCAGCGGAUCCGGCAGCGUUACUAUAAGCCGCAGCCUUGUCGCUCGCUCUCGCGCUGGCUCAGCGGGCGGCUGCUUUUACGCAGGCGGUGGCGAGCUCAUGCUCGUUUCAUCCACGGCUGAAGACUGCACCUCGUCCGACUCCGUUGGAGGAGUUCUGAGUGUAUCACCACCAAAC
rnacentral:misc_RNA from 1 species